rnacentral:tRNA from 1 species
GGCCCUGUGGCCUUAUGGAUAAGGCGUCAGCCUCUUAAGUUGAAGACUGCAGGUUAAAGUCUUGUCAGGGUCG